rnacentral:lncRNA from 1 species
GGAAGUUGACAUGUCGUCACUUCAUUUUUUUGCGCCUGCGCAUAAAUCUGAGAAGCGUGAGUUUGUCAUAAGUGUUUAUCUAGACAUAGGAUAGGUUGUGUGAAAAUAUUACUGAUGUUUAACGUUAAAAAUGGACCAAAAGAUUAAUGCUAAACAACAUUUGACAUGUUUGAACGAACGUAAAUAGAUUAUUUACUAGGUUUUUUUAGCUUUUCGGCGUGAUUUUACACCCCCCCCACCACGUUUUGUGGGAGCAUAAUGAACGCUAACUACUUGGUGUUAUUUGGACAUAAAUUAUGAACUUUGUCAAAAGAAACCACAUUUGUUCCGGACCUGGGAUCCCUGGCAGUGCCUUCUGAUGGAGAUAAUCAAAGGUUCCUGAACGCACCCUGUCUGGUUGCCAGGCAACAAAGAUAGGCGGGAGAUCUAUUGAUUACCCGCACCUGCAUCUCAUCAACCUUCUGCACACCUGGUCCUGAUCUUCACCUCUUCUUAAACCCUGAGCUGACAUCCAUUCCCUGCCGGAUCAUUAGCAACGAACAUCAUUCUCCCGGAACAUUCAACUCCCUUGCCUGGCUGUCGGUGGAUACUGUGACUUCAUUGGAUCAACCCAUUUACUCUCAUCAACUCACCUCCGUCUCCUGGAUCACUCAAAUUACACAUCAAGACUACCAAUAAAUACUCACCUUCAUUUUACUCACCUUGUCCUGGUCUGCUUCUGGGUUCUGUCUUAGAGAAUCGUGACAUACUUAGAUGUUGACUUACAGUGAGGGAAAAAAGUAUUUGAUCCCCUGCCGAUUUUGUACAUAUGCCCACUGACAAAGAAAUGAUCAGUCUAU